CAAGAAAAAAUAAAAAGAUGCCGGAUAGCAGAAUGAUGUUUGCUCAAAAUGAAGGAGAAGACAAAAAGGGCAAAAUAAUAGAAUUUUGUUUUACUUUAAAACUUGAAAAAUGUGUUGUUUCAAGCCUCCUCUGGCAGAUGGACCCAAACAGGGGUUCGAUUUCCCAGCAAGGAGACAAAUGCUGUUCUCAGCGAGACCUUUCUCCCUUUUCCCAGGCUUCCUGCUGCUGAUUCAGGGGGUGAGAAACUAGAAAUGUAAAUUAACUAAAAGUUAGAAAGCCCAGUUGUGAGGAGCAAGUUCUCAACGGACUUAAAAGUGACAGCAAAGAGGAGAAAAAUCCAGAUGGGAAAUAGACAAGCCGCGAGAUAACAUGUGAGUUGCCUGGGAUCGGGAGAAAAACUCCCCACGAGGUACUAAGGGCUCUGCUGGGCAUCUUCUGUAACAUUAGGUUUAAAAUUCCCAGGCUGCUUAUGGAGGAGAAGUGUAAUGACCUCCUUUAACACGCGAGGAAACCGAGACUCGGAGCGGCAGAGAACCUGCCCAGUGCCCAUCGACGUGAAGAACCGUGCAAAUUCAAGACACACACGAAUCUAGGCACCAAAGUAGGAGGAGUAAACACUAAAGACCAAAGAACUCAGUGCCGAUAUGCCCCCUGCACUUUGACCAUCCUGGUGGGUCAUCCGCAGAGCUUGUGAUUGCUGCUCUUCACCUCUAAACUGCUACCUUCUCCCAUCUUCGUCAAGUCAGUAAAUGGCACCACGGACCACCCAGCUGUAAGCCGAAAACUGGAAGAGUUCUGUUUCAUUCAUUCGUUUUUGUUUUUUUUCGAUGCACCACCGCCUCCCACAUCCAGCCCAUAAGCAAGUCCCAUGAUUCUUACCUCCAAAAUGCAUCCUGAACCCCACCACCUUCCUUCCACCCACUGCUAACAUGCUAGUCCAGGCCACCGUGAUUGCCCACCUGAUUUCUGCCAUUGUUCCUUCGCUGGCCUCCCUGCUUCCAGACUUGCUGCCUUUCCAUCUCUCCUUCACACCACUGUCAGAGUGCUCAGACCCUGCACUCCCUGCUCCAAAUCCUCAAACGCUUUCCCAUGGCCUCAAACUCCUAGCUUGACCUUCCAUCUGCUUUCCUUCUCCUCUUUGCCCACUGACCCAGUGGUCUACAAAAAUAUACAGUAAAAAUUUUUUGAAUGCAUAUUCUCAUUGUAAAUUAUACACAUAUAUACAUGUGUAUAAUUACACAUGUGUAAAUUACACACAUAUACCACUGUAUUAUAUAUAAUUAUAUAUAAUUUCUGUCAUAUAUAACAAAAGACAUACAAAAUCAUAGACAUUACAAAAUAUACAAUAGAAAGAAAUGAAAAAGAAAUGCUAAUAGUUUCUUCCAACACCUGUGGUUCGGUACUUCAGUCCUCGGUGCCCCCUAGGGUGGCGCACCCCACUUUGGAGACCCCACUGGCUCUAGCCACAUUGGCCUACUUUCUGUACCACUAUGAGCCCCUUUCCACUUCAGAGCUUUUAUAAUCUCUGUUCUCUGUAUUUGGAACAUUCGUCCCCCAGAUCCUCACAUGACUGGUUUCUUUUGUCGAAAGGUCUCAGUUCAAAGAUCACUUCCUUAGAGACCAUGGCCACUCUGUAUCAAAAUAACACCACCAAAUCAUCGACCAUUGCAUUAACCUGAUGUGUUUUCUUCACAGUAUUGUCUUUGAAGUGAUAAUGUAUUUAUUUGUAAUCUUGUAUACUGCCUGCCUUCCCAACUAAACCAUAACUAUCUGCAGGGCAGGAUCUUUGCCAUUUUGCACACUGUUGUGUCCACAGUGUGUAGAGUAGGGCCUGGCACCUAGAAGUUGCUCAAUGCAUAUUUAUAUUUUAAUGAAUCUUGGGUACAUCACAAUCUCUCUGGCCUUACUGCUCUCAUUUAUUAAACAAAAGUAUUGGAUUCCACGACUAAAAUCUUUCCAAUUUGAAAUAGAGCCCUAUUUCCAAAUCUAAAAUUCCAGAGGGUGUGGCUUCUUCCAUUUUGUGUAAACAUUAACUAUGCUAUCUUACCAAAGUCAAUACGAAUUCACGACAAGAACCUUUAAAUGAAAUGCACUAUAUAAUAAGCAUUAGAGGCAAUCAAGAGUUAAAGGCUCACAAGUAAACUGGAUUUCAAUAUACGGUACAAAAGAUGGUUGAGGCAAUGGUCACAAAGAGAAAAGGCAUUUCCAGGUUAGAAUCAGGAACGGCUUUAACACUAACAGUCACGGAUAGGAUUUGCUGUCAAGAAGAACAUUUCCCAAAAGUCAUUAAUUCUGCACAAUGGUUUAUUGGCCUGUUUUCCUAUUUUUUUCUCUUCAUAGAGGCAGCAUAGAGUUAAGGAAAGAGGAAUGGGCUGAAAAAGUAGGUUCAACAUUCAGUCUCAAAGUUACUAGUUGUGUGGCUUGGGGCAGUUACUAAGCUUUUCUGGUUCUCUGGUUCUUCACAUAUAAAAUAAGGUGAAUGACCUUAUUGGUUGAUGUGAUAAGUCAAUGAGAUGAUGUAUGGGGAGCACCCGUUCCUGGCAGAGAAUAAGUCCCCAACCAUUUACCGGUUGAUUCAAAAGAAUGAAUGAAUGCAUCUUCUCACCUACCUUCAAAAAGGAUUUAUACAGCUUACAAUAAAAAAAUACAUCUCUAGCGGGAGAGUUAGAAUAAAGAUAAAAAGAAACAUUCGCCACUCCUAAGUAUAUAACCAAGAGAAUAAAAAACAUGUGUUCACACAAAAACUUGAAUUCACAGCAGCAUUAUUCAUAAUAACCACAAAGUAGAAACAACCCAAAUGGCCAUCAACUGAGGAAUGUAUAAACAAAAUGUAGUAUAGGUAUACUACAGAAGGUAUAUUAUUCAUCCGUAAAAAGGGAGGAAACACUGACAUAUGUAACAAUAUGGGUCAACCUCAGAGAACAUGUGCUAAGUGAAAGAAGUCAGUCACAAAAGACCACAUGUUGUAUGAUUCCAUUUAUAUAAAAUGUCCAGAAGAGGCAAAUUCCUAGAAAUAGAAAGCAGCUUUGUGGUUGCCAGGGUCUCAGGGGAGGGCGAAAUGUGCGGAGACGGCUUCAUGUGUAUGGGGUUUCUUUCUGGAGUGAUGCAAUGUUCUGAAAUUAGAUGGUGGUGAUGGUUGCACAAUUCUGUGAAUACACUAAAAGCCACUGAACUGUAUACUUUAAAAUGAUUAAAAUGAAUUUUAUGCUAUGUGAAAUUUAUUUCAAUAAAAAGUUUUUUUUCAAAGGAAGGUUAUAAACCACAUAGAGGACAGGGUAGGGGUGGGCACAAUUAUGCCAGGAAUCAAAAUUGGAUGUUAGCUGCAAUCGAUUAAUCUGAUGGUUAUGCGUGUUUGUUCCAAAUACAUUAGCUAAACUAGAAAAGAAUGCUUUAAUCAGCUAACACAAAUAUUUUGCAGAUAGGGUUCUCAUAUACCACUG